AUUUCAAACAUUUUGUAAAGAAAAAAAAAGGAGGGGGCCUUAUAUUCUCUGGGCAAAGUCCAGAUACCGGCCAAAGGGCCGCCGUGUCUCCAUCGCACCUCCGCCGGUAGCCGGCGCCAUUGCCGCCAUAUGCGGCCGCCGGAGAGUUAAAAAAAGUUCCCUUCUUCGGCCGAUCUAAAAGCAGGUAUUUUUUUCCUUUCUUUUUUACUCUAUUUGUAUAUAUAUAUGUAUAUGCCGUGUAUAAAAAAACUUGUAAAUAGGUUAGUGUUUUCGAAAUAUAAAAGAAGGAAACCUUGGAUCUGCUUCUGCUUUCGCUUUUUCUGCUUGAAUCUAUCUCUUUUUCUUUGUAUUUCUAAGUGACGUUUUACAAAGGAAAAUCGGGGAAGCAGAACCCCUAAAACCGAUAUCCAAAUUCGGCUUUUAUACAUUUAUUUGCUAGUACUGUCGUUUCUUCUUAAUUGUUUGCAGGCACUCGAUGGCGCCAGUGGAGAGGCGGUGGUGGCAGAGGACGUGACAGAGGCGGUGGGUUGGUGGCAGCAGUCAAGUGGAGGCUGCAGUCAAGUGGGGCACUAGGGUUUCAGAGACUGAAACCCUAGUCUGACUCCUUGUUGGGUCUGGGGAAUUGGGCUUCUUGGGCCUUUUAUUUGUAAUGGGCCCGUAACAAAAAGCGUUUUCCAUUAUUUAGAUCCAAAGAAAUUGAAACCAAAUGCGUUAAGGAUCAAUUUUCUCGAAUAUAAACAUAAAAUUUUACUUGUUUGAAAGUCGAAACUUAUGCGUCGAGAUAAAUUAAUCUAAUUUGAAAUAGUAUAAAUGAAACACGAGGUUAAUAUGCGUACAAAGCAAUACUGAAUACGAUAGCAUAAAAGUAAUACAAGUAAUAAAAAUGAACGAAUAAAAGGGACAAUUUAAUAACAUGUAAAAUAGCAAGCAUAAGCAAAUAAAAUUAAAAUGUUCUUUUAAAAUAAAAAUAAAUAAAUAAAAGAUAUGAAUAAAAUUUAUAGAAAUAUAAAGUAUAUAUAUAGGUAUCAAAAUUAUGAAGUACAAAAUAUGUAUGUGGAUAUAU
rnacentral:lncRNA from 1 species